GACUUGGGAGCUGAAGACUCUCUCACAGCUCCUGUUUAUGCUCCAGGAGUUGGCAGUGAGUUUUCUCCCUGAUGUCUCCUUUUUUCACCCGUGGGAAACUUCCUGUGUUGACGGAGACUCUCACCUUGGCUCUUCCAUUCCAUGGUGUCCCCAUCCCUAGCAGCAACCUCUCUGACGCAGAGGACUGCAAUUCCAAAACCAAAUCCAUGCUGAGCCCCUCUGGGGGCUGUCUCCCCCGUGAAGACCCCUCAUUCUGUGAGGACAUCAUCCUUCUUGAAGUCACGACUUCCAGUGUGUGUUCUCCUCAUCUCGCCUAUCCAAGGCAUGUGGGGUUCUCAAAGGGAAAAGAGAUGGCCCAACCUAUGGAAGCUACUUCAGGACAACCCAUGGCAGGUCUACAAACUAGGUAUCACUGCGGCCUGGGCUGACGACAGUGACUUUAAAGAAUCUACUGCUCAUGAAAAUCUGCAUGGAGACAAGGGGUUGCUGGACAGGUGCCCCAAAGAUGAAACAAAACUUACUGAAAGCAAACUGGGUAGUCUUGUGGGACUGCUAAAGAUGUUUCGGGGAGUUCACAUGGGUGAUGAAUAAAUCCAGAAGGAUGACCAUGAAAAUCAAAACACUGACAAAGAAAAUCACAAAAACAUUCAGAGAAAGAAAAAAGAUGAGGGCUGGGAUUUCUUCAAACUUGCUCUGGUUGAAGACCUCAGGCUAAGCAGCUGUUCCCCUGCACACCUGGCUCAGGUCACUCACUCAGGGACAUGAGGUGUGUCUAGGCUCGCCCACGUGCAAACCAUCAGAAAAUACAGAUAUCAUCCCCGUCCCAGAGCUACCUGUGACGUGUAAGGAACAGGAGCUUCCCAAGACUGCAGGCAAGCUGAGCAGCAGCCAUAAGUCCGGCAUCACAGAGCCCUCAACCUCCUCAGCAUAGCUGGAGGACCAUGUCCCUAAAGCACAGAGCACUACCUGUAUGCAUGCGGGGCAGCCCUUCCUCUGGCUGCACAAGAGAGUUCUUCCCAUGUGACACAGAAGAUAGGACCCUGAGCAGGCCUGUAAAGAGCCAUACAAUCCCAGAAGGCCCCGCUCCUAUCAUAAACCCCUGCCACAUCAUUCUCAGGCACUCUGCCUAGCCUUGGCUGAAGAGCCCACUGACACCUACUAAAGUGGUUUCCAGAGAACAGAAUGGUGGGGAUGGGAAUCUGGAAUUAGUUCUCUGUUCUGGUCAGAUUUAAAGAGUAGCCACGAAGCAAGAGAAUGUGAUAACAAGUUGCCUGCUUCUAAGAGAGCUGAAGAACUAGCAUGGGGAUAAAAGAUGAGUUUAGAGCUUUACAUCCCAGCUAAAAAUCCACAAAGGUUAUUGGAAAGCUUCUACAACUACUCAGAAAGAUGCCAUUUGUCUUAUAGCUACAGAACUGAAAUUUCUGCAGAGUGAAAUUCUGCAGGUGGAGUGCCUUCAACAUACAUUGACAUCUGCUCCUAACUAGAAUGAUUGUGUUUGGAAAGCAGGAAGUGGAAAUGGGAUGUAGCUAUGCUUACCUUCGGAUUUAAUAAUCCACACAAGGAAUUUUUGCUCCUUAUAUUCAUAUAGCAACUUUGAGCUUGGUGAUUCUGUAAGACAUCCUGCCCAAAUGAGAAAUAG
ensembl:lncRNA